CCCUUUAUUCAAGGAUUUACCCUUUAAUGUAUCAGUAUACACUUUGCUAAGACAUGUUUGGUACUCGCUAUCUUUGUGUGAUAUAACCUUUGUUGUGUGUGAAAGUAAUCUUUUGUGGUAUCUUUUAUGUAUGUAUCAGCAAUGGCAGCUGUUCAGGGUCCUGGCACAGAGGACAGGUUGCAGUGCACGAUUGGAGCGGUCUUCCUGCAAGCCCUGACAAGCCUUAUUAAGUGGUUUUAAAUACAGCAGCGGUGUCACCACGACGGUGCUACAAGAGACCCUAUCAUCAGUGCAAAGUAGAAAAUUAAAUACAAAUGCAGUUAUUCCUGGAAA